AGGACGAACGCUGGCGGCGUGCUUAACACAUGCAAGUCGAGCGGAAAGGCCCUUCGGGGUACUCGAGCGGCGAACGGGUGAGUAACACGUGAGCAACCUGCCCUUAGCUUCGGGAUAGCUCCGGGAAACCGGAAUUAAUACCGAAUAUGAUUUUUGCUGACAUCAGCAGAAGUGGUAAAGUUUUCGGCUAGGGAUGGACUCGCGGCCUAUCAGCUAGUUGGUGAGGUAACGGCCCACCAAGGCGACGACGGGUA
rnacentral:rRNA from 1 species